ACCAGGUCUUGACAUCCCGAUGCUAUUUCUAGAGAUGAAAGUUACUUCGGUACAUCGGUGACAGGUGGUGCAUGGUUGUCGUCAGCUCGUGUCGUGAGAUGUUGGGUUAAGUCCCGCAACGAGCGCAACCCCUAUUGUUAGUUGCCAUCAUUCAGUUGGGCACUCUAGCGAGACUGCCGGUGAUAAACCGGAGGAAGGUGGGAUGACGUCAAAUCAUCAUGCCCCUUAUGACCUGGGCUACACACGUGCUACAAUGGUUGGUACAACGAGUUGCGAGUCGGUGACGGCGAGCUAAUCUCUUAAAGCCAAUCUCAGUUCGGAUUGUAGGCUGCAACUCGCCUACAUGAAGUCGGAAUCGCUAGUAAUCGCGGAUCAGCACGCCGCGGUGAAUACGUUCCCGGGCCUU
rnacentral:rRNA from 1 species